rnacentral:rRNA from 1 species
UACGAAGGGGGCUAGCGUUGUUCGGAUUUACUGGGCGUAAAGGGCGCGUAGGCGGUGCGAUAAGUCAGGCGUGAAAGCCCCGGGCUCAACCCGGGAAUAGCGCUUGAUACUGUUGCGCUUGAAUCCAGGAGAGGAUGGCGGAAUUCCCAGUGUAGAGGUGAAAUUCGUAGAUAUUGGGAAGAACACCAGUGGCGAAGGCGGCCAUCUGGCCUGGAAUUGACGCUGAGGCGCGAAAGCCAGGGGAGCAAACGGG